GUGUUGUAUGAAAGGAGAGAAGAUUAGCUUUGCCCCUGACGAGGAUGGAAGAGGCUCUCGGGCCUGACAACAUGCACGUGGUUAAGGCCUGGGUACCUACUUCACGGCAUCUAACCAUUACUUUCU
rnacentral:ncRNA from 1 species